GACGACGGCAGCCUCAGGCGUCAUGGAGGAGGGAGGCGGCGCAGUGGGGAAGCAACGACGGGAGAAGGGCGAGCAGUGACGCCGGAUGGGAUGGCCGCCGUGGCGGGCGAGAGGAGGCGCUGCAGGAGCGGGUCCCGGAGGAGGGCGCUGGCGGCGCUAGUGGAGUCCCGCUGGUGUCUUCCUUUCAUCUCCCCACGGCGGUUGGCGGUGCAAAGAAGGGCGACAAGCCACGGGAGCUCGCCGCGCCCGUGCAGCACUCGCCUAUGCCCCUCAUUCUCAGCGCGUUCUCGUCUCCAUCACACAAGUUAGAUGAUGACAACAGCAAUGCCUCCAAUGAAGGCUUCAAGCAGGUCACAUGUACGUUGCUUCUCUUCCCAGUGCAAGUUGAGAAGAGGAAGAUUCAAGGAGCAGCGUGUUUAGGAUAAUUGGAACAAAGAUCCUAAUGAUAUCAUCACUUAAAUGUUAUCUGAAGCAGCCCAAAGUGAGAGUUAUCAGAUCGUUGAGCUCUUUAUUAGAAAUCUCACCACCUGCAGUUGUAGCAGCUAAUGAAUGUGCUAUUAGGUUAUAUAUGAAGCAAGAUUUGGCAAUCAAAAAAUUGUAUCAACCACAAAAUAUCAUCAGAAAGUAACUAGGAGGUCUCCACAAAGUGAUUGUCGGUCUCCAUCGAUGUUCAUUAUGUUCUGAGAAAAAAUGGAUGAUUAUGGGUGAGGUAUCAAGCUCGGCAGAUGAAGGAGGUUUGAGGGCAUGUAGAUCAGUACACGCGGCUCAGAGCGGUACAAGUCGUUGUGCCUAUCUCAGCAACUUGGUGUGGCUGAGACUCUUGCGCCUGACAUAAAUGCUUUUCGAGUAGAGUACCCGGCCAACCAGGCCACUCCAAGGAGGCAAAUCCAUCUGCUGCGUCCGUUACCACCACACAGUCAAGUUUUACCCUGCAGUGAAUUACCACCGUUGGAUUUGUCCGUUUCCACCAUUUGUCGGUAAUCAUAUUCUUCUCCAUAUGGUCGGUAAUGAAGAUAAUGAUGUGGUCGGUAAUAUUAUUUUUUUCCAUAGAUCAGUCCAACUAGAGACAAUGAUGAACAUAUGAGUUGUUGAAAAGGUCUUAUUAAUCACCCGAAUUUGAGCAUAAUGGAGAUGUUGA